UAGGAAGUGGAUUCAGGGAGUGAGUUGCAUGGGUGGGAAUAAAGGUUGUGGUCCCAGCAGUCCUGGGCACUGAAGGACAGCAAGGACCCUGAGUGGCUUCAAGCAAGCCAGGGCGCAGCAGCUGGGCCCCCGGUCUCCAAGGCACCUGGCUCCCAGGAACAGGAGUAGGAGCUGUCCAAGCAGAAGGUGUACCAGGAGCUGACGCAGCUGAAGGCGGGAGUCGGCCGCCUGUGCCGCCCCUGCCCCUGGGACUGGACGUUCUUCCAAGGAAACUGUUACUUCUUCUCCAAGUCCCUGAGGAACUGGCACGACUCUGUCACCGCUUGCCAGGAAGAGGGGGCCCAACUAGUCGUCAUCGAAAGUACC